rnacentral:rRNA from 1 species
GGCGAACGCAGGCGGCAGGCCUAACACAUGCAAGUCGAACGAUCCUUCGGGAUAGUGGCGGACGGGUGAGUAACACGUGGGAACGUACCUUUAGGUUCGGGAUAACUCAGGGAAACUUGAGCUAAUACCGGAUAAGCCCUUUUGGGGAAAGAUUUAUCGCCUUUAGAGCGGCCCGCGUUAGAUUAGCUAGUUGGUGGGGUAAAGGCCGACCAAGGCUCCGAUCUAUAGCUGGUCUGAGAGGAUGAUCGGCCACACUGGGACUGAGACACGGCCCAGACUGCUACGGGAGGCAGCAGUGGUGAAUCUUGCGCAAUGGGCGAAAGCCUGACGCAGCCAUGCCGCGUGAAUGAUGAAGGUCUUAGGAUUGUAAAAUUCUUUUAGCAGGGACGAUAAUGACGGUACCUGCAGAAAAAGCCCCGGCUAACUUCGUGCCAGCCGCCGCGGUAACAC